ACGCACGCUGGCGGCGUGCUUAACACAUGCAGGUCGAACGGAAAGGCCCUGCUUUUGUGGGGUGCUCGAGUGGCGAACGGGUGAGUAACACGUGAGUAACCUGCCCUUGACUUUGGGAUAACUUCAGGAAACUGGGGCUAAUACCGGAUAGGAGCUCCUGCUGCAUGGUGGGGGUUGGAAAGUUUCGGCGGUUGGGGAUGGACUCGCGGCUUAUCAGCUUGUUGGUGGGGUAGUGGCUUACCAAGGCUUUGACGGGUAGCCGGCCUGAGAGGGUGACCGGCCACAUUGGGACUGAGAUACGGCCCAGACUCCUACGGGAGGCAGCAGUGGGGAAUAUUGCACAAUGGGCGGAAGCCUGAUGCAGCAACGCCGCGUGCGGGAUGAAGGCCUUCGGGUUGUAAACCGCUUUCGCCUGUGACGAAGCGUGAGUGACGGUAAUGGGUAAAGAAGCACCGGCUAACUACGUG
rnacentral:rRNA from 1 species